GAUGAACGCUGGCGGCGUGCCUAAUACAUGCAAGUCGAGCGAACAGACGAGGAGCUUGCUCCUCUGACGUUAGCGGCGGACGGGUGAGUAACACGUGGAUAACCUACCUAUAAGACUGGGAUAACUUCGGGAAACCGGAGCUAAUGCCGGAUAAUAUAUUGAACCGCAUGGUUCAAUAGUGAAAGACGGUUUUGCUGUCACUUAUAGAUGGAUCCGCGCCGCAUUAGCUAGUUGGUAAGGUAACGGCUUACCAAGGCAACGAUGCGUAGCCGACCUGAGAGGGUGAUCGGCCACACUGGAACUGAGACACGGUCCAGACUCCUCCGGGAGGCAGCAGUAGGGAAUCUUCCGCAAUGGGCGAAAGCCUGACGGAGCAACGCCGCGUGAGUGAUGAAGGUCUUCGGAUCGUAAAACUCUGUUAUUAGGGAAGAACAAAUGUGUAAGUAACUAUGCACGUCUUGACGGUACCUAAUCAGAAAGCCACGGCUAACUACGUG
rnacentral:rRNA from 1 species